GGGAUGGCCCGGGGGGCGGAGGAUGGCCGACACCGCCCAGAAGCCGCGCUGGCAGCGCAGCUCCGGCCCCGUAGCCAGAGUGUGGCUCGAGCAUCGCUGUAGGAGCCCGUGGCCGCCCCCUCCCGAGCUCGGAGCCGUCCCCUAAAGUUUAUUUUUAGCCCCCGGAAAGCGCUAUAAAGGUCCCGCGGAGCGAGCGGGCCGGGAGACGUGGCACCGCGCUGCCUGCAGCCACUUCUCUGAACUGUUACCUUCAAAAUGAAGAGCAAGGCAGAGGUGAGAACAAAGAAAGCCUUGGAAAAAUCCAGUCAUAACAUCCGAGGAAUAGAAAUAAUAGGAAAUACUUAUAUGGUCAGAAUUUGGAUGGAAUUUAUGAGAAGUUACAAAGGGUCCAAUUACAUUUGAAUCUAGAUUUGGGAAUUUUUAUUUUGUACAUAAUAAAGAUACCAGUGCAUCUUUUCUUUGGA